UCUAUUUCCGCCGUCGCGGGCUAAGGAAAGGGAGGUCUUGUCGCGUGCUUGUUCUUUUUGGCAUCCCGCGCGCUCUCUCGCCAUCUCUCGAAAUCGUCAAGCAUCCUGAAACUUCCCCAGCUGUCUGCCCUGUCUCCGCCGCUUCCCGGCGCCAGGGCGUCGGGGCCUCGAUGUUGAACGCCUCUCCUGCAGACAUGAAAGCUCUCUCCUGGAUGUUUCUUGCUGGUUCUGCAGCAGCCAGCGCCCUCUUCUCUCUGGAUUCCCUCCGGGGCAUUCAGUGUCCAGGGGGAGGAUGUCCCCGGGUUGCCCAGAUGCUGCUAGAGAAACACAGCGUACUCAACACCCUUUUGAACAGAGCCCUUAGUAACAGUUGGCACAAGAGAUCACACUGGUUUAGAUUAAGAUCUCCUGCCCCUUUCCUAGAGAUCUUGGUGGGUGCUGUUCAUGGACACCAGAGGGGCAGAGAAUUGAGAGUGAUGUCAUCCCAUGAAGCUUCACUGCCAGCUGCUCCCUACUGUAUGCUGAGAUCAUUCAGAAACCAGGGCCAUGGACAGGAAAGCCCAGCUCCAUCUGUCUGCCUGUACCUGCAGUCAUGGUCUCUUAAGUUGAACAGGCUGGCCUUGAGUUUGCCAUCCUCUUGCCUCAGCCUCCUGAGUCACUGGGGAUUACAGGCAUGUGCUGUGGUGGCUGGCUCUGGACUUUUCCUUGGUCUUCGUGUUUCUUCCUGUCCCCCCAUCCCCCAUUCAAUAAAAAUUUCCUUUUUUUUUUUAAUGUUGAUGGGCCUUAAUUAUUUUAUUCAUUUA
rnacentral:lncRNA from 1 species